AUUGAACGCUAGCGGCAGGCCUAACACAUGCAAGUCGAACGAGUGGCGGACGGGUGAGUAAUAUCUGGGAAAGUGCCUGGUAGAGGGGGAUAACUACUCGAAAGAGUCGCUAAUACCGCAUACCAUCGGAUGUGCCCAGAUGGGCUUAGCUAGUAGGUGGGGUAAAGGCUCACCUAGGCCACGAUCCCUAGCUGGUAUGAGAGGACGACCAGCCACACUGGAACUGAGACACGGUCCAGACUCCUACGGGAGGCAGCAGUGGGGAAUAUUGCACAAUGGGCGCAAGCCUGAUGCAGCCAUGCCGCGUGUAUGAAGAAGGCCUUAGGGUUGUAAAGUACUUUCAGCGGGGAGGCGUUACCCGCAGAAGAAGCACCGGCUAACUCCGUGCCAGCAGCCGCGGUAAUUC
rnacentral:rRNA from 1 species